rnacentral:lncRNA from 1 species
CUUUAUCUCAUUGUUAUCUCAGAACACGACACCGCUUUUACUCUCUACGGUGAAACCGCUCCCGAUCUCGCUCCGAUCUCCUUCACACUGCGACCUUGCUCCGAUCUCAUUCUCGCUGCAAUCUCGCUCCGGUCUUGCUCCGUUCACGAUCUCGCUCCGAUAUGGACUCGAUUCUCUUCGUUGUAUUUCUCCUUCUCUCUAUAAAUUGUUGUUCGUUUUCUAUCCCUCUCAUGGUUGUUAUUCUUCGUUGAAAUUUGAUGUUCUCCACUGUUUCUUCUCCGAUUGUAGUGUAUGUUAAAUUUCGACACUCUAAUUUAGUUCCUUUUCACUAAUUGUGAUUUGGAUUUGAACCCUAUGAAUUUCAUGUUUAGGUUUU